rnacentral:rRNA from 1 species
UGGGGGAUAUUGCACAAUGGGCGAAAGCCUGAUGCAGCGACGCCGCGUGGGGGAUGAAGGCCUUCGGGUUGUAAACUUCUUUUGCUCUGAACAAGGCAUGCCUUUGGGGUGUGUUGAGUGUAGGGGUUGAUUAGCGCCGGCUAACUACGUGCCAGCAGCCGCGGUAAUACGUAGGGCGCGAGCGUUGUCCGGAAUUAUUGGGCGUAAAGGGCUUGUAGGUGGCUGGUUGCGUCUGUCGUGAAAGCUCAUGGCUUAACUGUGGGUUUGCGGUGGGUACGGGCUGGCUUGAGUGCGGUAGGGGAGGCUGGAAUUCCUGGUGUUGCGGUGGAAUGCGCAGAUAUCAGGAGGAAUACCGGUGGCGAAGGCGGGUCUCUGGGCUGUUACUGACGCUGAGGAGCGAAAGCGUGGGGAGCGAACAGG